GUUAAAGAUGACAAGAAAUCAGAUGCACGAUACUAAGAACAUGGAGCAAAAAUAUUUAAUAACGGCACUGUACAAAUAGGUUGGCUGGUGUUUGAUGGCCUAGAAUAUCAAAGGAUCUCAAAAAAAUAAAAAAACAAAAUAAAAAAUAAAAACCAUCAAAUCAUUGUCACCAUGCAUUAAGUGAAAUCUCAUGGUUCAUUGGCUAACCACAUGCUAAGCUAUAUGCCAAGGGCUUUCCCUUUCCAAGAACUAGCUCUUGAGCUUCUAAAUAAC
rnacentral:misc_RNA from 1 species